GACGAACGCUGGCGGCGUGCUUAACACAUGCAAGUCGAACGGAAAGGCCUGCUUUCCCUGGUGGUUUGCGGGUACUCGGGUGGCGAACGGGGGAGUACAACGGGAAUUAUCUGCCCCCAACUUGGGUAUAAGCCUGGGAAACGGGGUCUAAUUCCCGGUAGUACGGCAGGGUGGUGCCGGUGGUGGAACACGGUUUGCUAGUGGUUGGGGAUGAGCUCGCGGCCUAUCAGCUUGUUGGUGGGGUAAUGGCCUACCAAGGCGGGGACGGGUAGCCGGCCUGGGAGGGUGGACGGCCACAUUGGGACUGAGAUACGGCCCCGACGCCUACGGGAGGCAGCAGUGGGGAAUAUUGCACAAUGGGCGGAAGCCUGAUGCAGCGACGCCGCGUGGGGGAUGACGGCCUUCGGGUUGUAAACUCCUUUCGACCGCGAGGAAGCCACCUGGUUGGAAGGGUGGUGACGGUAGUGGUAGAAGAAGCACCGGCUAACUACGUG
rnacentral:rRNA from 1 species